rfam:Setaria italica strain Yugu1 chromosome VI, whole genome shotgun sequence.
GCACUGAAAGUGAGAGUUGGAUGAAAACAAACCAAUCGAUCACCAGAUUCUUCGCUGAAUCGAUGAGCAAACAUGAUCGCUGAUUGGCUUGUUUUCCUCCAAUAUCUCACCUUCAGUCG